rnacentral:lncRNA from 1 species
CGCAUUUGCAACUGCACUGCAGUUGUAAGUGCAGUUGCAAAUACGUACAACCAAACAGCCCCUUAGGGGGCGUUUGGAUUGAUGAAUUUGUAGAUUCAACGUAAGUCAAGUGUAGUGGUGUUUGAUUUUCCUGAAGUGUGAUUAUUUUUCUGUUGUUUGUUUUGACGUAACUCGUACCACUGAAAGUUAAAUUCAAUCACUUCUGCUGUUUGUUUUGAUGUAACUUGGUGCUGGUAAAAUUAGUUUUUUGAGUUCCGUUGUUUGUUUUGAUGUAAGUAAGUGGAUCCCAUUAUCUCCUAAAUAUAGUAAUAAAUUUAUCACUAUAAAAUUUAACCUAUUAUAUAAUUAAAUUUUUUAUUAUUAUUUAAAGAUAAUCUUAAUUUAUUAUAAAUAAAGUAAUUCUAACCCAUUAUAAAGAAAAUAGAGUUUAGGUUUUACUGUUUAAUAAAUUGUUUAGAGAAAGUUGAGUGUGGUGGAAGUCGAGUUCGGUACUUUAGAGCCGGAAGUCGAGAGUAGGAGAAGUGGAGCUCUAACGUAACUUGAGUUACAUUAUAUUUUUCAGUUAUACCAAAACAAAUAACGAACGUGAUGGAACUUGAGUUCCAUCACUCUACUUACACCAAAACAAACGGGCCCUUAGUGUUUCGUUAGGAUUUCAUUUAUAUCAUGUUUCUUAUACUCAAAAUAUUUCUGAAACUCUCCUCCUCCUUUAUCCAUGGCCGCGGCGCCUCACCCUCCGCCGUGCCGCCUCGUCCUCCGCCGCCUCGCUCUUGCCCACCUAUCUGGCCAUACCCACACACACACCCUUGCCCGUCUUUGCCGCCUCACCCUCGCCCUCGCCCUCACCUUCGCCCUCGCCCUCGUCCAUCUCUCCGUCCAAAAAAAUGAGAAGUAAUUUGAUUAUUUUAUUACAACCUAUUUUUUCUAUGAAUAAAUUUUUUUAAAAAAAUAAAAUA